rnacentral:rRNA from 1 species
CCUACGGGUGGCAGCAGUGAGGAAUAUUGGUCAAUGGGCGCGAGCCUGAACCAGCCAAGUCGCGUGAAGGAUGACUGCCCUACGGGUUGUAAACUUCUUUUAUAAAGGAAUAAAGUGAGGCACGUGUGCCUUUUUGUAUGUACUUUAUGAAUAAGGAUCGGCUAACUCCGUGCCAGCUGCCGCGGUAAUACGGAAGAUCCGAGGUUUAUCCGGAUUUGUUGGGUUGUAAGGGAUCGUCGAUGGGGUGUUAAGUCAGUUGUGAAAGUUUGCGGCUCAACCGUAAAAUUGCAAUUGAUACUGGCAGUCUUGAGUACAGUUGAGGUAGGCGGAAUUCGUGGUGUAGCGGUGAAAUGCUUAGAUAUCACGAAGAACUCCGAUUGCGAAGGCAGCUUACUAAACUGCCACUGACAUUGAUGCUCGAAAGUGUGGGUAUCAAACAGGAUUAGAUACCCGUGUAGUC